rnacentral:lncRNA from 1 species
GCAUAUUAAAAAUAAUUUAUUAUUAAGAAAAGUUUGAUCGAAGUUGCGUGAACGCAUACUCCGAUUUAUUUUUGAAAAUCGUAACCAUGUUACACAGACGCAUAUACAAUCACGAUAGGUAUAUUAAUAGCAUGCCUAAAAGCAUUUGUCUACGAAUAUAACAGGUGAUAAAUCCAAAUCCUCGUUACUCUUUUCAGCCAAUAAUACAUACUACAUUGCCAUGAUCAAUUCCAACUCGACGACUAGUAAGCAUGAAUACCAUACCCAAUCUUCCAAUUAUCCAAAUGAAUCACUUUUUUUCACAGCCCAAAACGAAAUAAACAAUGCAAAAGCAUCACCACCCUCUACACCGUCCUACUUUUUAGCCUCACAAGAACAUGAGUCAUAAAAGCCAACUUCAAUUAAACGCAUUCAAAAAGCAAUUAGACUCGAAAUUACAACAAGAACUCCAUUCAAUAUCAAAACACGCAAAUCAAAAUUAAUCAAGGUUGAGACAAGAAACAAAUUUAAAAUAUGAACUUGAACUUUCAAUGAAACACAACUUCAUUCACAAUACUGUUUCGAUGCUCAACUAACAGACACAGACUCGACAAAAAACAUAGCAGCAUCGUAACCUUGCCGGGAUCUCGAACGAAACUAAACAGACCCAACUCGACUGGAUUUGGGUAGAGAUUUCGAGCUGAUUUGCACUCUGGUCUGGUGUAAUUUCAAGGAGUUUGGAGCUGGACUUACUGCUGGGUUCGAACUCUGCUUCGCCGGAUUCAAUGGAGGGUCACUAAAGCUAUACGUUUUCCGGUGAGCUGGUGGUUCAGAUGUGUUUUUGAGAGGAGGGGUCGGCGGAAGGGCUGGAGCUCUUAGACCCGCUCCCUGCUUCUUCUCUUGGUGAAGGUGAAAUGCUUUUCCUAAUGGUCCGUGGUUGCUGUAGCUGUGAUUGACAAAGAAGAAGAAACAAUGGUGAUGCUGAAGGUUGAAGGAGACGAUAUCAGGAGUCAUUCUUGGUGUUGAACGACGCUCUAGUCUGUUGUGUCUAGGUCUUAGAGUCUUGUAUUGUUGGAAUGAAGAAGAAGAUCCAAAGGGGUUCUGAUUUGCUGAAAACGGCGCUACUUAUGUCUAGGUCCUAGGGGUCUAGAUCUAGGUUUUUAUUAAAGGAAGAAGGGUUUUUAGUGGGUUUAAAGGGUAUUGGGCUUUAAAUUAAGAAUUUGGGUUAGGUCUAUGUCUUGUUCGAUCUUAAUUUUGGUCUGAGAAAACUCCAAAAAUUAUUAUUCAAAACCAUAGCUAAAUUCUUUUAAUAUAAGAUAACUAUACUACAUGAUGCAAAAACAAAUUCUAAUUAAUUAAACUAAACUAUAUUAAAACAUAAAAUUAUUAUAUAUUUUUUGCAUUUUAAAAAUUAUAUAAAGAUAAAAAAAUAAGGUACUAUUUUUGUAUUUUUUUUUACUUUAUGAAAGGUACAUAAAAUAAAAUAUUUUUGUAAUUUUUAUUUUUGUCACGAAAUUAAAAGAGUCGAGAUUAGUUGAAAUAACUAUAUUAAACCUAAACUAAACAUUUACAUGCUCAAAUAUGAAAAAUCUUGGGGAGGGUAAAAAAUCACAUGUCUACAACUUCCCCUCUUUGACUGGAAAUACAAAGUAUUUUCAGACAAAGAAUGACUAGACAGAUUUUUUGACCCGGCCCUUAUUUGGAGAGACCGAAAUUAAGAAAAAGUGGAAUGUGACCGAGCCCUGGUAUAUGAGCUUCCUAUAUAUCAUUGGCUAUAAAGAAAUCAGGCCACGUGUAGUUCUGAAGUGAGUGAGAUGAUGGAUUAUACUGAGGUGGAGAGCCGAUCGAGGUGCCGUUCCAUCGAGGUUCCGGUUCGCAGUCCUGUUAUUACAUCAAAAAUAAAAAAAUAAAAAAUACUAACUAAGCCUGUCAACUAUGAGUUACAAGAUUCCUAUCUAUAAGUCUUCUAAAGGUUAAACAUGAGUCUUGAAUGGUUCUUCAUGUAGACUUUGGAUUUGAACCUUGACGCUUGCUAGUUGCAGGUGCUAGUUCAUUCUUCUUCUGCUUUUCGGAUCAAAAUCGGACAUACCAUGCUUGUAACUUAAGUCAUGUCUUGAGCAGCUCACAUCAUUCAUCAACUUCCGCAUUUGGAUUCACUUCUUGCCUUUUUUUUUUAAUUCUGGAUUGUGACUAACUUCCGUUGAUCAUCUCAGACUGUUGACUCGCAUUCUUGUCGCGAGCUUCUUUUGUUGCUGACUUGAAUUGCAUUCUGAAGUGAAUUCCCUUAUUUUCCAGGUGUGUGCCUGAUUGUCAAAUUUUGAACUGUUUUCCUUCAAAACUUGAACCAUUUUCCUUUGUUAUCCAGGUGGGCGCUUGAUUGCUGAACUUGAAUUGUCCUCCUUGGAAACUACUUUCCCUUGAAACUUGAACUGUCUUUCCUUGUUCACCAUGUGGGCGCCUGAUAGCUGAACUUGAACUGUCUUCCUUCAAAACUACUUUUCCUUGAAACUUGAACUCUCUUCCCUUGUUCUCCAGGUGGCCGCCUGAUUGCUGAACUUGAACUGUCUUCCUUCGGAACUGCUUUCCCUUGAAACUUGAACUGUCUUCCCUUGAAAAUUGAAUUGUCUUCCCUUAUUGUCCAGGUGGGCUCCUGAUUGCUGAAACUUUCUGUGUUCCUUCGGAACUGCUUUCCCUUGAAGCUUGAACUGUUUUCCCUUGAAACUUGAACUGUCUUCCCUUAUUCUCCAGGUGGGCGCCUGAUUGCUAAAACUUUUUGUGUUCCCUCGGAACUGCUUUCUUUUGAAACUUGAACUGUCUUCCCUUGUUUUCCAGGUGGACGCCUAAUUGCUGAAACUUUCUAUGUUCCCUUGUUUUCAAUGUGGGUUCCUGCAAUCAAAACAAACAAAACAAACAAAAUUUUCUGCCCCAAUUUGCACUAGGAAGAUUUGUGAGUUGUUAGCAAUAUUGUAAACCACAUAUACUAUUGAUGUAAUGAUGAGAGUAAACUAAAUACUAGACUAAGAUGUGCGUCACCUAUGUGUAAAACCAAAAAACUUUGACUAGCAAAUGUGUAUGCUAAAAAUGAAACCUGAAUGAACCAAACUAGGAAGUGCGUCUCUUUGGGGUGAAACUUGAAUGAACCAAACUAGGAAGUGCGUCUCCUGAAACAAAAUAUAACCUGACAGACCCAGACUAGGAAGUGCAUCUCCAAGAGGUGAAACUUCAAUAACUCAGACUAGGAAGUGUAUCUCCUUAGGGUGAAAUCUCAAUUUAGGAAGUGCAUCUCCUAAAACAAAAAUAUAACCUGAACUACCCAGACUAGGAAGUGCAUCUCCUACGAAUGAACUCUCAAUUUAGGAAGUGUGUCUUCUAUGGGUGAAAUUUCAAUGACUCAAACUAGGAAGUGCGUCUCCGAGGAAUGAACUUAAAUGAACCAGUUAGGAUGUGCGUCUCCUAGUGGUAAAAUCUCAAUUUAGGAAGUGAGUCUCCUAAAACAAAAAUAUAACCUGAAAGACCCAAACUAGGAAGUGCGUCUCCUAGGGGUGAAACAUUAAUGACUCAAACAAGGAUGUGCGUCUCCUAAGAAUGAACUGAAAUAAACCAAACUAGGAAGUGCGUCUCCUAGUGGCAAAAUCUCAAUUUAUGAAGUGUGUCUCCUAAAAGUAUAUCCUGAAAGACCCGAACUAGGAAGUGCGUCUCCUAGGGGUGAAACAUCAAUUUAGCAAGUGUGUCUCCUAAAACAAAAUAUAACAUGAAAGACCCAGACUAGGAGGUGCGUCUCCUAGGGGUGAAACUUUAAUAACUCAAACUAGGAAGUGUUUCUCCUAGGAAUGAAUUUAAACGACCAAAACUAGGAAGUGCGUCUCUUAACAAGUAUAAUCUGAAAGACCCCUACUAGGAAGUGCGUCUCCUGACGGGUAACACUUUAAUGACUCCAACAAGGACGUGCGUCUACUAGGGAUGAAUUUAAAUGACCAAGACUAGGAAGUGAGUCUCCUAGGGGUGGAAUCUCGAUUUACGAAGUGCGUCUCCUAGAGCAAAAUAUAACUUGAAAGACUUAGACUAGGAAGUGCGUCUCCUAGGGGUAAAACCAUUAGUGACUCAAACCCAUAUGAUCCAAACUAGGAAGUGCAUCUCCUAAGGGUAAAAUCUCAAUUUAGGAAGUGUGUCUACUACAACAAAAUAUAACUUGAAAACCCAGACUAGGAAGUGUUUCUCCUAGGGGUGAUGUGUGAUCUUAUCAAUAGCCUUUGCAUAAGCGGAAUUGGGGCAUUACACCUGAAAAUUUCAAGCUUCCAAGCUUUGAUAUGAACAUCGCUUCCGUCUUUGUUUCAGACAAAGAAAACUUGUGAGUUUAAACAUGGUGAUUGGUUUUUGGCCUUGACUUUAAGGGCGAUUGCUCUUUCACUUGCCAUGAUAACUUUGAUUUCACCUUGAAAGACAUUGCUUGCUUAUUGACUAGACACUUUCUCUGUCACCCUUAUCACAGAAAAUACCUCUGAUCCGUUCAAACCUAACAUCUUCUAUCUAUUGCAUUUUGCUCAUGAAUCGACAUUUACUGAACCUUUGUAUUUCACAUGAAUCCCAAAACACGUUGAUUUUUACCAACUCAGUGCGCUUGCUGUUCUUUCCUGACGUAGGCCACUGGCCUUGGCCUUGAGGUCUAUUGCUCCUUCGCUUGCCAUGAUAACUUUAAUUUCCACUUGGAAAAUCUUGCUUGUUAUUGGUUGACCACUUUCUCUGCCAAACUUAUCACAGAAAAUACCUUUGAUCUGUUCAAACUCAAUACCAUCUACCCAUUGCAUUUUGCUCAUGAAUUGACUUUUACUAAACCUUUGAAUUUCACAUGAAUCCCAAAGCAUACCGAUUUUUAUCCGUUUAGUGUGUAUACUGCUCUUUCCUGACUUAUGUCGCUUUGAUAUGCUAACCAGACUCUGCCUUGUGUAAUUGGAAAGCUGGUAGCAGAUUUUGAAGUUAUUUCUCACUUGUUUUGACCAAAUAUACUCAAGAAGAGGAAUCAAACAAGACAAAAUGAACAGAGUAAAGGACAAUGGAAAGAGAUGAUUCCUAAUAAGAAAACUACAAAGUAGAAACUUAUCAGACGUGGAUACCAACUCUAAUGACCAUGACAUCCACCUUUGGAUUCAGUGGCAUAAUCUGUCAAGUAAAUCUAAUACUCAACUCUUGUUGUACCUCUUUUCCAUGAAACUGGGCUUCAAUGCUCCGAUUAUCCCAUCUGAUUGACGAUACUUAUUCAACUUGUAGUGACCAAAGGAUUUUCACCAUCAAGCCUCUCUCAUUUUGUUCUUUCUCUCAACUUUUCGUUGCCUUAUGGUGUCUGUGAAGGUUUUCACCGAUAAGACACUCUCAUUUUUGUUUUCCUUGUGUAGCACAGAGUGUUACUCCUGAUGCAAAUCAUACCUCUAUCUUGCUCGACUUGGUACUCUCCAAUAUUGAUCGAAAGGUCUUUCUUUGGACCGUAAUAUAGGCUUUGGAUGGGGUUAAAAAAGAAAGGAUAAAAGCUCAAAACAACUUGAAUGGAAUCACAAUUACAACUUUUAGAAUCAGAUCUUUUACAUAACCACAACUUCUGCCCCAGUUUCUUUGCCUGGAGGCUUUUGCAUUUUUUUUUUGACGAGACCAAACCAUGAGGCUGCCUACGUAUCCUUAAAAGGAAUCAGGUCGAACGUAGUUCAUGAAAUAGGAAUUGCUUUAUUUUUGUACUUUUCUCUCUCUUUUUCUUUUCUCUUUUUUUUCUUUUGUCUUUUUUUUCUUUUCUUUCCUUUUCUUUACUCUUUUCCCAUUUUCUUUCUCUUUUCCUCUUUUCUCUCUUUUUUUAUUCUAUAUCCGUAUUUUUAAACUCUGAUCUGAUUCCAAUAGAGAGGUAUGAAAGAAAAUAAAUAAGGCUUAAGGGGAUAACAAAGGAUAAAGAGUUUAGAUAGCAGAAUAAAAUGCCUUCGUCAUUCGGAUCUUCAAAGCAUGACAAAUACAAAAAACACAACUAAAUAAACAAAGAAAUCAUACAUAGUAUCUUUUCACUGCAUCAGAAUUGAUAACCAUAUCCACAGAUUUGCCUUCUACAUCUGUUAAAUACAAAGCACCAUUGGACAACACUCUCGUUAACACGAACGACCCCUACAAAUUUGGGGAAAACUUGCCUUUAGCUUCAACCUGAUGCGGCAGGAUGCAUUUCAAUAGUGUUUCUUUAUGUUCUAUCUGCCCCAUUUUCACACAAUUCGGGCUUGAAUUGAACUCAAAAUGCCUUUACUUAUUUCCCUCCAAUGUCCCUACCAUCUUCAAAAUUAUUUCAUUGCUUCAUGAUUAGACUAACUUUUAAGACCAGUCUAAGAAUUAUGCGUACAUGCCAUGUCACUAGAGUCAACUUGAAAAGAACUAUCAAAGGAAAAGAGGACUAAACAAAAAUUACUAGAAAUAACAAAAAAUAGAAAAUUGCAUUAGACAAACGGUAAAAGGGUUUGAACAACAAAACACACUGGGGUUACAACCCUGGAACAAAUAUAGAUAAUACUAAAUGAGUUACUAACACUAAAGAAACUAGACAAAAUAAAGGAUAGAAGGGUUUGAGUCACAAGACAAUAUCCGGAGGACAACCCUGAAAUAACUCGGACAACAGAAAUGACAACAAAAUAAACUACCAAGACUCCUCCCUGCUUGCCAAGAGAUGGAGCGUCUUUCCAAUUACCAAGCACGUCAUCUUAGCCAUGGGAUUCCACAUCAAUAUUGCCAAGACCAUUAAAACCUUCAUAUCAUUAACUUUAGUCAGCAGGUUCCCAAGAAGAUUCGCAUACUCCCUGUCACUGUCCUUGACCACAAUUACCCCUUCUUGAAUCAUUUUUUCUAUUUCUUUUUUCAAAGCACGACAAUCUUCAAUGAUAUGCCCUUGGACGUUAAAGUGGUACAUGCAUCGCACAGUAGGAUCAAAACCUUUUGCAUAUGGGUUGGGAGUAUAGCCGAGGAGCGGCUCAAUCAGGCCAGAAUGCUUUAACUUUUCAAACAAGAUUGCGUCGGACUCCCCGAUUGGCAUGAAACUAGUUCUUUGCCUUUAUUCCCCUCCCUGCCCCUGUUUUCUAGGGUUGUUGGGUGCUCAAAAAUGUUGUGAAGUGACCUGAUGGUUGGACAGAUGACCGGACAUUGUUCGGAGGAUAAUACAAAAGUGGAUUAUGUGGAGCUCGGGGAUAGGUUUGGUAUUGGAAUUGAGGCUGGGUAUAUUGGUGAUGCGAACCAUUUGGACCAUCUCCUAAUCCUGAGACAACCAUGGCAACAUCAUCAUGUUCCUUCUUACCCAACAAGCUUCCUGUGUCGUUCUGUAUUGCUUGUGUUGUGGCUUUUAAAUCAGAAUAACUCAUGAUCUUGCUCGUCAUCAGCCCAUCUUCUACCAUUUUUCCCAUUUUUACCACAUCAUUAAAAGGCCUACCCACAACCAAGAUCAAAUUCCCAAAGUAAGUUGGCUCUUGAGCUUGAAGAAAGUACUCGACCAUCUCUUUUUCUUCCAUCGGGGGAUUGACUUUGGCAGCUUGCUCUCUCCAUCUGAGCCCGCAUUCCCUAAAGCUUUCAUUAGGCUUAUUUUUCAUAUUGGUGAGGGACAUACGACCAGGGACGAUCUCUAUAUUAUACUGGAAGUGCCGAGAAAAGGCAUGAGCCAUAUCGUCCCAUGUGUACCACCUGUUAGCGUCUUGGCGGGUGUACCACUCCAGAGCUGCCCCACUCAGACUCUGACUGAAAUACGCCAUCAAUAGUUUGCCCUCCCUACUAGCGCCUCUCAUAUUACUACAAUAACCUCUCAAAUGGGCCACAGGAUCUCCGUGCCCGUCAUAUAAAUCAAACUUUGGCAUCUUAAACCCAACAGGCAGUUGGACGUCAGGAAACAAGCACAAGUCUUUGUAAGCCAUGCUCAUCUGGCACCCUAUCCCUUACAUGUUUCUUAAAGACUACUCUAAGAUUUUUAUCUUCCUAGAUAUCUCAUCUUGCUCCACUGUCUUAGCAGGCUUUUCAGUUUCACCGGGAGGCUCAAAAUGAGGAGUGUGAGAAUAUGGAUCCGAGACUUUGAAAGUUUGUUCUGGAGCAUAGUGUUGGGCAUCGGGGAUUUUGAGCACAGUCUCGUUAGAGGAUCAAGGAAAAGUAGCUGGAGGAGGAGCUACAAGAGCAUGAGUGGACAAAGGAGGGGGAUAUGCGGUGGUUUUGGCGGGUAGAGUAUGAAAAGGUUGUGGGAAGAUAUCAGCAUCAGUGGGAAUCUGUAUUUGUAAUAGUGGUGGGAUAGUUGCAGGGAUUUUAGUGUAGUUAGUGGGGAAUGAACGUGGAGGAUGCCCCCUGAUCCAAGACUGAUACAUAUCUUCCAUAUGCUGUUUCAACAUUUUGACCUCCCCUUUCAAUUUAGACUCCGACUCCACAAACUCCCUCGACGGGUCAACAACUCUUGUGUCUAGGUCUUUGCUAGUCAUGGCUACCUUGCUCUUUGACCUUGUGUUGUAUGGAAGAGUUAUCAGUUUAAUAACCACAAAUCAACCACCCUUCUACUAUAAUGAGGAUAACAAAGAGGAACAAAAUGAAGUCAUCAUGUUAGCGUUAGGGCAUUUAACAGCUAAAAAUACCACAUUACGUGCAAUGCACCUAGCAACAAUUAACGGUUCUAGAAUGACUUCGAGGACCACAAGGUCACUUGGCAUCAUCCCAAUUUUGUUCAUUUCAAUCUUCUCUUUUCUUUCUUUUCUAGUACUUCUUGGCUUGCUCAUUUUCCUUCCCUUUUUUUCUUCUAAGUAUCACUUCUUUUUUUCUCUCACUUCUCACAUCCCAAAAUUUCACCUCUCUUUUUCUCUUUUUUCUUUUAAGAAUUUUUUAUGUUUCCCUUUUUUUUCUUUUUCUUUUAAAUAAAUAAAUAAAUGAUUCGAUCGAACCCUAUGUAGAUUGCCUACGUAUCAUGUAGUUCGGGAAGAUCGAAAAUAAAGCAAACAAACUAACGUUCCCUUUUUCUUUUUCUUUUUUUCUUCUUUUUUACCUUAAUGAAUAUACUGAUGAGAAAAGAGAAAUAAAAGGAGCAAUUCCUUUUUUUUUUUGAAUUUUCUAGACUUAAUGUUCUAUAGCCUAUUCCAAACUCAAGCUUAACGAGCAUAUAUUUGUUUUUCCUUAAUUUAUUUUUUUGAAACAGAUACUCUAUGAGAAAUUAUUAAGGAAAAUAACCUAGACGAGAAAAAUAUUUUGAUUCUUCUUUUUUUUAGGAAGGAAAUCUAAAGGAUGAACCAAAGAAAAAUAUUUUGAAUUUUUGUUUGAUAUCCUGAAAGAAAGAUUUCGAACUAAGAAAUGAAAAAGAUAAAAAAUAUUUUUGGAUUUCAGUUUUGAUUACCUAAGGGAGAAACUUUAAAGAUAAACCAAAGAUAAAGUAUGUUAUUUUUUUUCCUUCUAUGUACAAUGUCCUGAAGUUAUAGUAAAAAUAAAAAGUUUUUUUUUCUAUUCAUUUUUCAUUAAUUUCCCAAAGUAGAACCUCAAAAGAAAAUCUUUUUGAUUUUUGGAAUUAAUAUCUUAAAGAAAACUUUUAAAGUGGUACUACAAGGAAAUUCUUUUUUUUUUAAAUUUUUAGUCUUAAUAUACUAAAAGAGAUAUAAAAAUAAUUUUUGUUUUAAGUUCUAGAUAUUAAUUGCCUAAAGGAAAAACUGCCUUAAUUGAAUUUUUUUAAUUCCUAGAAUUAGUAUUCUAAAGAAAACUUCUAAAAGAAAUAUAAAAAUGCAAAAUUUCUUUUUUUUAUCUUUUUUUGUUUGGAUUUUGAUUGUAACACAUUUCCAAAUACCAAAUAAGAAAUACAAUAACAAAAGACUCGGCAAACUUAACUAGACUAUGACAAACUCUAAUAUCACCUAAAAGACUCGACAUUACUGUACAAAACUAGAAGGUAAAAUAUGACAUAAUAGAAAAACAGACUCAAAACAUAUUAAAUAACAAAAAUCUCCUUAAGCAACUCCUGAAUGAGAGAUCCUGACUGGAUGGUCCUGGGGCGUCUGUCAUGCUCAAACUCCGAUAAGUAAACCCACACUUGUAUGAGAAAAUUAAGAUCAAAUAAAGUUAAAGGCCUAGAACACUAUAUGAGACAAUAACACUCCCUAUUGAACGCAUGCAAGAUAUAAUUGAGACUAUUUUUGCAAAAUGGCUUAUGUGGCCAAAAGGUAGCUAGAAGUGCAAAAUUUGGUUAAGACCCUGCAAAGCCAUGAACCUAAGAUUCACUAGGAAGACCGGACCCUAUGUGAGUUGCCUACGUAUCACGCCCCGAAAGGCGAGAAUCAGGUAUGUGUAGUUCGAGAAGAUCGGAUACAUGCGAGAAUUAAAAAAAAUAACCAAUUUAGAGAAAAUAUAUUUUGUCUUUUUUGAAAAAUGAUGAAACAUGUAAACUCUUUUUGGAUUUUCUUUCCCCCUAUUUUUUUUUAUUUUCGAAAAAUGAUGAAAAAGUACAAAAUCUUUUUUUUUUGAAUUUUCAUGUUUUUUUUCCUUAACAAAAUGUGACUGAGAACAUAAUUGAGCCCUACUUGCUUUAUUUUUCACACAUUACCCUCUCUUUUUUUCUUUUUCAUUUGCCCUCAACUAUCAUUGGUCCGCCAAAUGACCCUUUUACCUUUGAAGAAAUGCAACAUGUAGCACGUAUGAUGCAUCAAGAUGGUCUGUUAUUUUGGGUACACCUGUCCUAGACGGACUUAACCCCUGUGUUGAGUCCCCAAAGUCAAAUGCACAUGAUGCAAACAAACGUUCCUACUAGGGAUCCUGCAUGAGACUGUUUUUUUAGGUUUAAAACCUGGGGUUGUGCUCUAGACCUGGCUUACAUGAGCAAACAAAUUGAGCCGAAAAGGGGGCAACGUACCGGGAGCUCUGAAGCCUACCCGGCCUUGUUGCUGGCCUAGCCGCAUUCUAUUUGGUAUAACUUCUACAGAAAAAGUGGGCCACGCAAACGUGAGCACCAUAUUCAGAAGACUCAGAGAGGUGGCAUAAGAAGACAUUUAUAUACAAUUCAAAUAAUAUCAAAACGGUAAACAUACAUCAAUUAGCACAAAGGUUCACAAAAUACAGUAAUAUUAACAAUAAAAAAGCCAAGUAAAAUCAUAUUAACAAGCUCGAAUUCUGAACCCUGAACCAGAAGAUCUGGGUUCUUGUCCCCAGCAGAGUCUCCAAAGCUGUCACACCUCCUUUUUCCUACCCCCGGAACUGGUAUAAGGGAGUUUUUUCUAAUUUAAGUGACAAUCGAAACAGGAUUAUUUAUUUAAAACUUGGAGUCGCCACUUGGGAUAUUUUAUGGUGUCCCAAGUCACCGGUUUAAAAUCUCGAUUCGAGGACUCUAUUUACGGUUUGCGAACAUAGAAAUUCGGGUAAGAAAUUCUGUUAACUCGGGAGAAGGUGUUAGGUAUUUCCGAGUUCCGUGGUUCUAGCACGAUCGCUUUGAUCAUACUUGGCUUAUUUAAUUGUCUAAUUACUCAUUUUAGAACCUAUGUGCAUUUGUCUCCUUUAAUUAAGAAAUUAUCUUGAAACGGGUCACAUGUACGUGUACCCAUUUGUUUGGCGCGUCAAAAAUCAUGUCACACGAACGUGUCCACAAUUAAUAAUGCUUUAUUAUUAUUAAGAAAGUUUGGCCGAUAUUGCUUGAAUGCAUACUCUGGUUUUGGUUUUAGAAUCAUAAUUAUGUCACACGAACGUGUACGCAAUUACGAUGGUAUUUAGACGUGCCUAAAGCAAACUACGAACAUUUGUCAUUUUUAUAUCUAGGUUAUGGAAUUAAUACGCGGUCCAUGUAUGAUUAAAUCGUGGAUGGCACUCCUCGGACUAUAUAAACUAAAUUUAAUUUAGAGGCCUAUUAAAAAUAAUUUAUUAUUAAGAAAAGUUUGAUCGAAGUUGCACGAAUGCAUACUCUGAUUUAUUUUUGAAAAUCAUAACCAUGUCACGCGGACGUGUACACAAUCACGAUAGGUAUAUUAAGAGCAUGCCUAAAAGAAUUUUUCUACGUAUAUAAUAGGUGAUAAAUCCAAAUCCUCGUUACUAUGUUCAGCCUAUAAUGCAUACCAAAUUGCCAUAAUCAAUUCCAACUCGACAGCCAGUAAGCAUGAAUACCAUACCAUUCUUCAAUUAUCCAAAUGAAUCACUUUCUUCAUAGCCCAAAACGAAACAAAAAUGCAAAAGCAUCACGACCCUCUGCACACUCCUACUUUUUAUCCUCACAAGAAGAUGAAUCAUAAAAGUUAACUUCAAUUAAAUGCGUUCAAAAAACAAUUAGACUCGAAAUUACAACAAGAACUCCAUUCGAUAUCAAAAUACACAAAUCAAAAUUAAUCAAGGUUGAGACAAGAAACGAAUUUAAAAUAUGAACCUGAACUUUCGAUGAAACACAACUUCAUUCACAAUACUAUUUUGACGCUCGACUAACAAACACAGACUCAAACAGAAGACGUAACAAUGCCGGAACCUUUCCGAAAACUCGAACGGAACUUAACAGACCUAACUCGGCUGGAUUUGGGUGGAGAUUUCGAGCUGAUUUGCACAUUGGUCUGGUGUAAUUUCAGGGAGUUUAGAGCUGGACUUACUGUUGGGUUCGAACUCUGCUUCACCAGAUUCAAUGGAGGCUCACUGAAGCUACACGUUUUCAAGCGAGCUAGUGGUUUUGCUGUGUUUUGGAGAGGAGGGGUCGUCAGAAGGGCUGGAGCUCUUAGGUCAGUUCUCUGCUCCUUCUCUUGGUAAAGGUGAAAUGCUUUUCCUAAGGGUCCAUUGCUGCUGUAGCUGUGAUAGACGAAGAAGAAGAAACAAUGGCGAUGCUGAAGGUUUAAGGAGACAAUAUCAAGAGUCGCUCUUGGUGUUGAACGACGCUCUAGUCUGUUUUGUCUAGGUCUUAGAGUCUUGUAUUGUUGGAAUGAAGAAGGAGAUCCAAAAAGGUUCUGAUUUGCAGAAAACGGCGCUGCUUAGGUCUAGGUCCUAGGGGUCUAGAUCUAGGUUUUUA